rnacentral:lncRNA from 10 species
AGCGGCCGCAGUGGCCGCAGGGUGCCCGGUCGCCGCCCCCUCCGCCCGCAGUUCCCGGGGCCUGAGCCUCCGCGAGCCGGGAUAGGACCGAGUGGCGGGGCUCGGAGCCGCCUCGGCAGGCGCGGCCCUUCCCUCCCUGCAGGGAUUCCCGUCCUCUCGGGUCCCGCUGCCCCGCCCCGACUGCGGACGGAGUGGAUGGGGUGCACCGCCUCAGACCCGCUUCCUGGGGUCGCGAACUUCCCGGGCCCCAAGGUCCCUGCCACCUCUUCCAAAUGCUGGAGGACUACGCACUUCUACAAGUGAGGUGACUUUUGAGGAAUUCAAGAAUGCUGAUCACAGCGGUUCCCCUUGGGUCUUACCUUCGGAGGGUCAAGGGAGGAUGGGUCAUCUGGAACCCACUUACAUCCAGGCCCCUCUGGGAGCCCUGGGGUUUGUGGCCAAAGAGGGUAGGAAGCCACUCCACAGAAAGGGGUUUAAACUUGUCUCUACCCUUUUUGUCGCUCUGACGCGCCCUUACAGCCAAACCUACGUACUCCACCCCAGCUCCUAAGGCACCGGAUAUACACAGUGAUCUAAGGAGAGGGUCGCUUUGGAAAGAAAAGGCAUUGACUGCCCAAGGGCAGGAGGGAGGUCUGAUGCGGUCUCCUUUCCUUUACCUUAUUCUUUGCGCCUGAAGUUUCUACUUUGGAGCUUCAGAAACUAUUUUCCUUCUCCUCUAUCAAUCUAAAGUCUGUUAUAUAGGAGCAGUGCCCCCAAGUCCACCUCAGCACCGCCACCGUCAUCACAAGCACAGCCAUCAGGAUUGGGCACAACCUGCCCUAAUUUGGAUCGCCGUUUAUUUUUACUGUUGUUUUGGCAGGGUGGGGAUUGCUUUACAUUCGCUGGAGAUGAAUUAUAAUUCUCCCCUCCAACCAGGGUGGGCUUCAUGGGUGUGCGACUAUGCAGUUGUAUAGGCCACAGCUCAUAAGACCCGUGUUUGGUUUAAUAUUCUGGGACAAUAGUCUACUGUCGCUGUUUUGUUCUUCUUCAUAAUUUUUAAUCAAGGAGUCUCACAUUUGUAUUUUGCAAUGGGCCACGCAGAUAAUGUAGUCAGCUUUGCCUCUCUCUUCGCCACUUCCCUAGACUUUCCCCUUCCUCUGCGUAAGUACAC